rnacentral:lncRNA from 1 species
AUGGGAAAUGAGGGAACAAACAGGGAAUGGAAACAAAUAUGUACAAGCUCCAUUUACUUUCUCAGCUGCUCAGGAGGAAGCCUUGAGUCUGUGGCAAUGGAGGGCACUAGAAAAGGGACAGGAGGGAACUCAAAAGAGGCUGGAAGAACCAUGCAGACAGUUUUGAAGGCAGAAAGGUACAGACUUCGUCAUGGUGAUCACGUCUCUGCAGCCUUGAGGCCAGAUCGACGAAACACACACCCCAAAACCACUGCUGGGCUGGAGCUGCUGCAGAGGAGAAGCACAACCACUCAAGGGUCUUCACCUGAGGAAGCUGGCGAACUCUGUGCUUGGCAAACUGUAUUAGCAACAUUUAAUAAAAAAAGAUGUUGUCUCGACUGCGGCAAAGGCUGGUCACAGAAAGCUGGGAGCAGCACAGCCUCUUCCUCCUCCUGCAAAUUCCAAGUUUCACUGGCCUUGUAAAGGGUUAAUAGCCAUGAAGCAAACGCGUCCUUAGAAGGUACAUGUUCUUCAUUAUUCCGCUUUACAUUCAAACAUAUAAAACAAAGAGCAUCUGAUAUCUUUAUUGGUUCUCUUAGAUAAAAUGCAAGCAAGCUAUAAGCCUUAAUUUUCUUAUUACCAUUUGUUAACAAGGAAGAUAACACUCUCAAAAGUACUUGAUUAGGACUCCCUUUGAUUUGUAUCUCGUUAUGAUUUCCAGGGCAUAUAUUUUUGUAUUACUACUUUAGUACGCUGAUAGUUCUGAUCAAAGUGAUAAAAAGAGGUAUUUUAGGAGUGUAACUAUUAACCGUGCAGGUAAACCACACAAUCUGCACAGCAUCUCGAGGGCUGCCGUGCUCAAGCACGCUUUGGGCAACAGCUCGGGGAUGAGAUACACUCUCCUAUCUCCAAAGCCGGUGGGCUGAGCUGGAGGAGCCCUUUCGCCCUCCAGCCCUCGCAGCAGUAACUUUUAGCGUUUGCAACUUUUUUCUUUGCGUUUCUACAGCGCAGCUACUGAGAAGAGUCGCGGGUAUAACGUUAAAGCUGUUUACGAUAUCGAAUGCCUAAACACUUGCGGUAAGGAUCCGUACCAGAGCACGUCUUUUCAGCUUUAACUAUCCAAGGAAAAUAAAAGCUGAUGUGA